rnacentral:sRNA from 1 species
GGAGCCCAGCCGGGACUGUCGCGCGGGCCGCGCCGGCGAUGCCGCGCCCCCGGGCCGGGCUGUAGCGGGGCCGCGGCCGGAGUGUGCGCCGAGCAGGCGGGACAUGGAGGUGGUGGACGAGACGGAGGCGCUGCAGCGCUUCUUCGAAGGCCACGACAUCAACGGUGCCCUGGAGCCCUCCAACAUAGACACCAGCAUCCUGGAGGAGUACAUCAGCAAGGAGGAUGCCUCCGACCUGUGAGUGGCCCCCUCGCCCAGCCUGCACCCGCCCAGCCCCAGCCCUUCGCCUCCCUUCUGUCACCAGGGAGGUCUGAGGGCUGGACCUGGGGUCUGCUGUGGUCCCACCUCUGAAAGCUGCUCCUCGUCCCUUCCCAGCCACUGACUCCUCCGAAAUCUCCAUAGUUCCCUGCAGGGAGGGGGCGGCUACUUCCCUGCUGGGGCUGGGGUCCUGGCUGGAGCUGAGCCGCCCCUCUUCCCUGCAGCUGCUUCCCUGACAUCUCUGCUCCAGCCAGCUCGGCCUCCUACUCCCAUGGGCAGCCUGCGAUGCCCGGCUCCAGCGGGGUCCACCACCUGAGCCCCCCUGGGGGUGGACCCUCCCCGGGGCGCCAUGGUCCCCUCCCACCCCCGGGCUAUGGCACCCCGCUGAACUGCAACAACAACAACGGCAUGGGCGCUGCCCCCAAGCCCUUCCCGGGGGGCACCGGGCCCCCCAUCAAGGCCGAGCCCAAGGCUCCCUAUGCCCCAGGGUGAGUAAGGGCAGGGAGUAGGGGGAUACAGCGGCACAGGGGCAGGCAGGGAGCAGGGCUGUGGCCGUGACCUGGGAGGUGCUAGACACUGGCCUGGCAUGGGAUGGGCUGGGUGACUGGCUGUGCGUGGGCAGGUGAGGGAAGGGAGGAUGAGUCCAGGCCAAGGGGGGACUCCUGGGCUUUGUUCUGAGGCAGUGGGCAGCCACGAAGCUUCUAAGUAUGGGAGUGAUGAGGGCUGACGUAAGUGCUAGAAAAAUCUCGAUGCUGUGUGGAGAGUGGACAGGAGGCGGCGGGACUGGAGGCUGUGACUGUUUACCUUCAUGGGAACACCUGCAUACCCGUGCACGCGCGCCAAGCCCACCCACUUACGCAUCCAGCUGACGUGUACUGUGGCCACAGAAGCUGGCCCAUGGCUCAGAUGUGGCACCUCAGUUCCCCCCUACCCAAGCAAGCCUCAUGGGGCCCAGAACCCAGGCCCUUCCCCCCAUCUUUCUGAGGAGUCCACACCAAGGGCCUGACCCAGGGCUGAACCUUAGGCCUGGCUUUGACCAAAGGUUCCAGGCAGCCACCCGGCCAGCCAGACUCCAGGGCAGCUCCCGGAGCACAUGCUCACAGUGGGAGGCUGGGAGCAUGGGUCUGCAGGGGA